rnacentral:lncRNA from 1 species
UAGGUGCUAGUACGACUGGUGGUGUGCUUAGGAUUUGUAAAGAGUUGCUUGGUUCCCAUUACUAUUACUUCGAGAAAAUUUUGUAAUGUAGAAGUAGAUGACGGGUUUCUCGAAAAAAAAGUAGAUGUUGGAGCAAGGCAUAGUUGUGAAUACAGUGUUGCUGGUUUGCCUUAUUGUGAAAUGUUAAAUUAGUAUUGCCUACCGCUACAUAAGGCCGGUCACAGUAGGGAGGAACUUAGGAGUAACAUCACAUACUCCAAUACAACUUUGCUUAUGUGGCACGUAUUUAAUAAAAAGAGAGGUGUUUGUGGUAACUAACUAAGUUACCGGAACAUCACACACUCCAACAAACAAUGAGUCUAUAACCUAAUAAAUACAUCGUUGCAUGACACUACAUAGAUGUUCCUACCCACUAUGGAGGUAGUAACAUAGUCUAGGGAAGUGUGUAAGUUACUAGCUUAUGUUCUUGCUCAUUGUGACCAGCCUAAGGUUUACUUUGUAUUUCAUUUUUCUAUUGUGAUCAUGACGUGGUCGCUUUAAUUGUAUGAACUCGAUAUCUU